rnacentral:rRNA from 1 species
CACGACACACCACGUUCGGAUUAUUGGGCGUAAGAGCUCGUAGGCGGUUUGUCGCGUCUGCUGUGAAAGACCGGGGCUCAACUCCGGUUCUGCAGUGGGUACGGGCAGACUAGAGUGCAGUAGGGGAGACUGGAAUUCCUGGUGUAGCGGUGAAAUGCGCAGAUAUCAGGAGGAACACCGAUGGCGAAGGCAGGUCUCUGGGCUGUAACUGACGCUGAGGAGCGAAAGCAUGGGGAGCGAACAGGAUUAGAUACCCUGGUAGUCCAUGCCGUAAACGUUGGGCACUAGGUGUGGGGGACAUUCCACGUUUUCCGCGCCGUAGCUAACGCAUUAAGUGCCCCGCCUGGGGAGUACGGCCGCAAGGCUAAAACUCAAAGGAAUUGACGGGGGCCCGCACAAGCGGCGGAGCAUGCGGAUUAAUUCGAUGCAACGCGAAGAACCUUACCAAGGCUUGACAUGAACCGGAAAGACCUGGAAACAGGUGCCCCGCUUGCGGUCGGUUUACAGGUGGUGCAUGGUUGUCGUCAGCUCGUGUCGUGAGAUGUUGGGUUAAGUCCCGCAACGAGCGCAACCCUCGUUCUAUGUUGCCAGCGCGUUAUGGCGGGGACUCAUAGGAGACUGCCGGGGUCAACUCGGAGGAAGGUGGGGACGACGUCAAAUCAUCAUGCCCCUUAUGUCUUGGGCUUCACGCAUGCUACAAUGGCCGGUACAAAGGGUUGCGAUACUGUGAGGUGGAGCUAAUCCCAAAAAGCCGGUCUCAGUUCGGAUUGGGGUCUGCAACUCGACCCCAUGAAGUCGGAGUCGCUAGUAAUCGCAGAUCAGCAACGCUGCGGUGAAUACGUUCCCGGGCCUUGUACACACCGCCCGUCAAGUCACGAAAGUUGGUAACACCCGAAGCCGGUGGCCUAACCCUUGUGGGGGGAGCCGUCGAAGUGGGACCGGCGAUUGGGACUAAGUCG